UAUUUAUUUACAUAAAUGUUGUUGUGUACACUAUUUAAAUAUUAAGUAAUAUUAUUAUAUGUUGAAAUUCAUUUAAUAUUACUUCAUUCAUUCGUUAAUUUGUAACUAAUUAACUCAUUUAUUCAUUCAUUGGCAAGGACAAAUAACCUUUCUACCAUUUUCUCAGUUUGACAAUUUCAAGCGUGUCUCAAGUGGAGGAAGAGCUAAAAGGCCCCCUGGUGGAGAACAUUAGCAUCACUUUCUCCUGUCUGAUGUUCUGGCAAGGUGUGGGUCAACAGCAGGGGAGUACUAUUG
rnacentral:lncRNA from 1 species